GUGGCAAUAAAAUUUCACUGAGUGUUUAUAAAGAGACUUCAGAAAUGCUGCACAAAGGUGAAGAUGGUACUGCUUUUCAGUGGGAGCAAUUGUUCUACUGACAACACAUGUUGCCAUAGCAUUUUAUUAUCAUUUUUCACCAGUCCCUUUGCCGUUGCUGGCAGUCAAGGAGGCAACACUGUGGCAGGUGAUGAAAGAAGACAGUUGGCUUGUUUCCUAAAUGAGGGUAUGCCGUGCAUUAGUAUCACAUGGGUCUGUGUGCCUUUCAGUUGCAGUCAUGAAAGUGAGAAGAAGAGUUCUGAGACAUUUAUAUGAGUGUUUUAUGCAGUCUCACAAGUAUAACAAAAUAAAAGGAGUAAUUCCCACGGCUGGUUUUGUAGCUCUGUUGUAUGAAGCUGUAUGAUGCCUUCUUUUUUCCCCUCAUCACUGGCUUCUUGUGACUGUCAUCAGCCCAGGUGAAUUUUUGUGUGUGAAAACUGUAUUUCUGACCAAAAAUGAAGUUGCAGAAAAACUUAGAAUGUUUAGUUCUAACACUGAGAUGCAAAAUCAGCUUUCAUUUUUUCCUGUUGUAUCAGAUGUUUUGGGACUGACUUUGUUCAAAUGCAACUUUAGAGAGCUAUGGAGAGAAAAUGCGACACCAAAGCACAAGGACGAGUUUAGAGUAAAACUGCAUGUUUUUGUUAUACAACUCUGAGACAGUGCUCUGUUUCAUUGUAUUUUUUCAUUUUGCCAAGGCAAAGCUGCUGAUCCCUGCUGCCUACCCCUUGUCUCUUUUUCCCUCCCAGCAAACCAGGUUGUUGGGUUGUUUUUUUUUGUUAAAAUUCUGAAAUGAAAAGGGAGAGACAGCGAGUAGCACCAAGGAGCAAAUUGGAAUGAGUCUAUUUCGUUAUCUACCUGUCCACUUAAAUGAUAAAAGUUCAGUCCUGAGAAUCCGUAGCUUUUAAAACUAUGCCUGUGAGGAAAUCUUUUUCUUUGAGGUUUUUACUAUUUCAGCUUACUGUAAUCAGAUAUGUUCUACUCGUGGUGAAAAUAAGUGCAUUUACUCCGUGACUGAUUCUUGUACUUUAAAACAAGCCCUAAUUUUUCAUUAUUCCAGAUGCUCUUCCUUCUACAAUCUUUGCACACUGUACUGCAUGUCUGAGUUUGACCCAUUGGUAAUGGUGAUGGUGGCUGCUCUUGUUGUUAUUGUGGUCCUGCUAAAUCAAUGGAUAUUAAUUAAGUUAAACAGCACAAGUAGAAUAAAAGUGAA
rnacentral:lncRNA from 1 species